GAUGAACGCUGGCGGCGUGCUUAACACAUGCAAGUCGAGCGAAGCGCUUUGGAAAGAUUCUUCGGAUGAUUUCCUUUGUGACUGAGCGGCGGACGGGUGAGUAACGCGUGGGUAACCUGCCUCAUACAGGGGGAUAACAGUUAGAAAUGACUGCUAAUACCGCAUAAGACCACGGUACCGCAUGGUACAGUGGUAAAAACUCCGGUGGUAUGAGAUGGACCCGCGUCUGAUUAGGUAGUUGGUGGGGUAACGGCCUACCAAGCCGACGAUCAGUAGCCGACCUGAGAGGGUGACCGGCCACAUUGGGACUGAGACACGGCCCAGACUCCUACGGGAGGCAGCAGUGGGGAAUAUUGCACAAUGGAGGAAACUCUGAUGCAGCGACGCCGCGUGAAGGAUGAAGUAUUUCGGUAUGUAAACUUCUAUCAGCAGGGAAGAAAAUGACGGUAC
rnacentral:rRNA from 1 species